UCAGAGUUUAUCUGGCUCAGGAUGAACGCUAGCGGCAGGCUUAACACAUGCAAGUCGAGGGGCAGCAUAAUGGAUAGCAAUAUCUAUGGUGGCGACCGGCGCACGGGUGCGUAACGCGUAUGCAACCUACCUUUAACAGGGGGAUAACACUGAGAAAUUGGUACUAAUACCCCAUAAUAUCAUAGAAGGCAUCUUUUAUGGUUGAAAAUUCCGAUGGUUAGAGAUGGGCAUGCGUUGUAUUAG
rnacentral:rRNA from 1 species